UCUGAUGACAUAUCAAUGGCAAAUUCAAUAAAGUACAUUAUAAGGACACAGGGAGCACAUCAAAAUCUUCAGGGAGAUUUGUAUUUUGAUUUAUUUAUCAUACAUACAUGGAAACAUACAGUGAAAUGUGCCAUUUGCCUUAACAAUCAGAAUCAGGUUUAUUAACACUGGCAUAUGUCUUGAAAUUUGUUAACUUAGCAGCAGCAGCUUAAUGCAAUACAUGAUAAUAUAGAAAGAAAAAAUCAGUUACAGUAGGUAUAGAUGUGUAUAUCAAAUAGUUAGAUAAAAAGUAGUGCAAAUCAGAAAUAAUAUUUUAAAAAGUGAGGUAGUUUUCAACGCACGUAACGAUGGGCUGGGAGCAACUUGGAGGUGUUGCCACGCAUUCCGGUGACCACAAUGCAAGGAAGAGCAACACAGAACGCAGCAACAAAACAAACCCCUUUCGUCCCUCCCACACAUGCAGAUGGUCCUCUAACUCCAGGACAAGCCUCAACUCUCCAAGCUUUUGCCAUCGGGCUUCAAGUUCUGGACUUCCAGUUGACCUUCAGGCUUUGAUCUUUGGUGUCGGCCCCUGGACCAGCUGAAGGUUCACCGAUGGAGGUUUCUGGAUGAGCAGUGGUCAUAUUAGUUUGGACACAACGCACAGUAGGCGUCAUUGCUGUGAAAUUGGAACAGCACACUGGAGAAAUUACAUUCAUCCAAACUUCAAGAGCAGGUAUUAACAGAAAGAUGAGCACGUGUUUAAGCUCUGUUCUUUUCUGAGCCACUGUUGAGCCUCCGACUGAGGUAAGCUAUUGCAAUUUUACCGAAGAAACGGAUGUCUCCUUGGUCUUUGUACAUCUUUCAUUUAAGUUUAAAGGGUAUGAGUAUGAGGGAACCAGUUCCAAAAAUAAAAUUAUCUUAAAAUCGGACUCAUGGCUUGAGGAGUACAUGGACUUGAAAUGGCAGACUCAUUUUCAGUAUUUCUGCCAUUGUGGAAGAUCAUAUAAGUUCAAGUUCAAAGUUCCUAAUGUUUAAUUUUCCUUAUUAUUUCUUAAAUUCUCAAAGCUCGUGAGCCUUUCUGAAGCAUUUUCACUCACAUACUCAACAUUUUAGGGCCAGCUUCCUCCUCUCUGCCAAAAGAUUUCUGAAUGACAAUGAACUCAUAUACACUACCUCACCAUUUUUGCACUCUUUUUGCACUACUAUUUAAUUUAUUUUAUAUAUUUUUUCUUAUUGUAAUUUGCUGGUUUUCUAUUAUUAUGUAUUUCACUGUACUGCUGUUGCAAAACAACAAAUUUCACGACAUACUGAAUGCCAGUGAUACUAAAUCUGAUUCUGAUUGAAAUUAACUCAUACUAUAAACUCACCUUACUGUCCCUAAGGCAUCUCCCAGUGACCACACAUUUUAAUUCCACGUCCCAUUCCCAUUCUGAUAUGUCUGUCCAUGGCCUCCUCUACUGUCAAGAUGAAUCCAAACUCAGGUUGGAGGAACAACACCUUAUAUACCGGCUGGGCAGCCUCCAACCUGAUGGCAUGAACAUUGACUUCUCUAACUUCCGUUAAUGCCCCUCCUCUCCUUCUUACACCAUCCCUGACAUAUUUAGUUGUUUUUUUUCUCUCUCUCUCUGCCUAUUCUCCAACUGCCUCUGGUGCUCCCCCCUUUUCUUUCUCCUGAGGCCUCCUGUCCCAUGAUCCUUUCCCUUCUCCAGCUCUGUAUCACUUCCGCCAAUCACCUUUACAGCUCUCAGCUUCAUCCCACCCCCUCCAGUCUUCUCCUAUCAUUUCGCAUUUCCCUCUCCCCCCACUACUUUCAAAUCUCUUACUAUCUUUCCUUUCAAUUAGUCCUGACGAAGGGUCUUGGCCCGAAACGUCGACAGUGCUUCUCCCUAUAGAUGCUGCCUGGCCUGCUGUGUUCCACCAGCAUUUUGUGUGUGUUGUUUGAAUUUCCAGCCUCUGCAGAUUUCCUUGUGUUUGUCCCUAAGGCAUUCUGGUAUCACAGAGAAAAGUUUGUUUUAUAAGAUGGUUUCAUCCCAAUGUGUGUACAUCACUUAUGGGGAAAAUAAACUUUAUAUACCACAAAAUGAUUCCGGGAUUGAAGGGCUUAUUGUAUGAGGAGUUAGAUGGCUUUGGGCCUGUACUCACUGGAAUUUAGAAUAAUGAGGGAGGAAUCUUAUUGAAACUUCUCGAAUGUCAAAAGUCCCAGAUAGAGGGGAUGUAAGAGAGGAUGAUCCCUACAGUGGGGGAUUCUAGUACCAGAUGGCACAACCUCAGAAUAGAGGGAUGUCCAUUAAAACAAGGAUGAGAAGGAAUUUCUUUAGCCAUAGGGUCGUGACUCUGUAGAAUUCAUUGCUACAGGUAGCUGUGGAGGCCAGGUCAUUGAGUGUAUUUAAGGCAGAGAUUGAUAGAUUCUUGAUAAGUCAGGGUGUGAAAGGUUCUGGGGAGAAGGAAGGAAGCACACUCCUGUGUCUUGUGCUCUAAAACAUUGUGUAACUUAAGUGCUUCAAGUGUACUUAAUUGCUUCUUCAACACAAAUAAAACACAAUCAGAGACCUAAUCUAUGGAAGCAUAAACUGGGAACAGAUGUUCUCAGGGAAAUAUACGGAAGAAAUGUGGCAAAUGUUCAAGGAAGUUCUGCAUAGGUAUGUUCCAGUGAGACAGGGAAAGGAUGGUAGGGUACAGGAACCAUGGUGUACAAAGGCUGUUGUAAAUCUAGCAAGAAGAAAAGAGCUUACAAAAGGUUCAAAAAACUAGGUAAUGAUAGAGAUUUAGAAGAUUAUAAAGGCUAGGAAGGAGUUUAAGAACGAAAUUAGGAGAGCCAUUAGGGGCCAUGAGAAGGCCUUGGCGGACAGGAUUAAGAAUUCCCCAAGGCAUUCUACAUGUAUGUGAAAGCAAGAGGAUAUGAUGUGAAAGAAUAGGACCUAUCAAGUGUGACAGUGGAAAAGUGUGUACGGAACCGGCGGAGAUAGCAGAGGUACUUAAUGAAUACUUUGCUUUAGUAUUCACUACGGAAAAGGAUCUUGGCGAUUGUAGGGAUGACUUACAGUGGACUGAAAAGCUUGAGCAUGUAGAUAUGAAGAAAGAGGAUGUGCUGGAACUUUUGGAAAACAUCAAGUUGGGUAAGUCACCAGGACCGGAUGAGAUUGCUGAGCCUCCAGCGAUGAUCUUUGCAUUAUCAAUGGGGACAGGUGAAGUUCUGGAGGUUUGGAGGGUUGUGGAUGUUGUUCCAUUGUUCAAGAAAGGGAGUAGAGAUAGCUCAGGAAAUUAUAGACCAGUGAGUCUUACUUCUCAGUUGGUAAGAUAAUGGAGAAGAUCCUGAGAAGCAGGAUUUAUGAACAUUUGGAAAGGCAUACUAUGAUUAGGAAUAGUCAGCAUGGCUUUGUCAAAGGCAGGUCAUGCCUUACGAGCCUGAUUGAAUUUUUUUGAGGAUGUGACUAAACACAUUGUUGAAGGUAGAGCAGUAGAUGUAGUGUAUAUGGAUUUCAGCAAGGCAUUUGAUAAGGUACCCCGUGCAAGACUUAUUGAGAAAGUAAGGAGGCAUGGGAUCCAAGGGGCAUUGCUUUGUGGGUCCAGAACUGGCUUGCCACAGAAGGCAAUGAGUGGUUGUAGACGGGUCUUAUUCAGCAUGGAGGUCAGUGACUAGUGGUGUACCUCAGGGAUCUGUUCUGGGACCCCUACUGUUUGUGAUUUUUAUAAAUGACCUGGAUGUGGAAGUGGAGGGAUGGGUUAGUAAGUUUGCUGAUGACGCAAAGGUUGGGGGUGUUGUAGAAAGUGUGGAGGGCUGUCAGAAGUUACAGCAGGACAUUGAUAGGAUGCAAAACUGGGCUGAGAAGUGGCAGAUGGAGAAGAGUGUGAAGUGGUUCAUUUUGGUAGGUCAAGUAUAAUGGUAGAAUAUAGUGUUAAUGGUAAGACUCUUGGCAGUGUGGAGAAUUAGAGGGAUCUAGGGGUCCGAGUCCAUAGGACACUCAAAGCUGCUGCGCAGGUUGACUCUGUGGUUAAGAAGGCAUAUGGUGCAUUGGCUUUCAUCAGACAUUGGAUUGAGUUUAGGAGCAGAGAGGUAAUGUUGCAGCUAUAUAUGAUCCUGGUCAGACCCCACUUGGAGUACUGUGCUCAGUUCUGGUUGCCUCACUACUGGAAGGAUGUGGAAGCCAUAGAAAGGGUGCAGAGAAGAUUCACAAGGAUGUUGCCUGGAUUGGGGAGCAUGCUUAAUGAAAACAGAUUGAGUGAACUUGGCCUUUUCUCCUUGGAGCGACGGAGGAUGAGAGGUGACCUGAUAGAGGUGUAUAAGAUGAUGAGCAGCAUUGAUCAUGUGGACAGUCAGAGGCUUUUUCCCAGGGCUUUAAUGACUAGCAUGAGAGGGCACAUUUUUAAGGUGCUUGGAAGUAGGUACAGAGGAGGUGUCAGGGAUAUAUUUUUUACGCAGCGAGUGGGAGUGCAUGGAAUGGGCUGCUGGCGACGGUGGUGGAGGUGGAUACGAUCGGGUCUUUUAAGAGAGUCCUGGAUAGGUACAUGGUGCUUAGAAAAAUAGAGGACUGAGGGUAACCCUAGGUAAUUUCUCAGGUAAGGAUACGUUCGGCACAGCUUUAUGGGCUGAAGGGCCUGUAUUGUGCUUUAGGUUUUUAUGUUUCUAGAGACAGGAAUAGUGAGACAAAAAACUUUUAGAAAUUUUCAGUAGGUCAGCUAGUAUUUGCAGGGAGGGAAACAACAUUUCUGAUCAGUGACUUUUUGGAGAAGCAGAUGAUUAAAAUCAUGUAGUUCACUACAUGAAAUUCUAAUUAUAUCUCAAUUUAGAGGGAGAUAUAAUUAAUCCCGGCAGUUUGUUUUAUUUCAGGUUUCCUGAUUCAGAUAGUGUGUGUGAUCUGUGACCUAACUUAAUAUUCAUUCUCCUUCUCAAUGGAUUUACAAAAAUAUAGCAGCUGUGGAUUAAAUAUUAAUGCAACUUUUAUUGACUUCUAAAGAAGAGAAUUCCAGACUUGCACUAACUUUUGCUCAGCUUUUACUUUUGCAGAGAAAACUUAUACUCGAUUCCUUCGAAUAACUGAACAGGAGGCAUUUCUGUGUGGAACCUCGAUACCAGUAUGAUGUAGCCCAAAAAGACUGUUAAAAGAAAGCCUUGCAUUUCUCUAGAGAUUUUCUAAUCUGAUGACGUUGCAAGUUGCUUUGCAAUCAGUGAGAUAAUUUUUGAAAUAUUCUCACUCUUAGGCAAUUGCAAGCAGAGCUAGAUUUUAGGCACAGCAAGAUCCACAGUCACUGAUGUAAUAAUUUUCAGGUAAUUUGCUUGUUAAAUGAUAAUUGACGAAAGGAUAGAUUUUGACCAGGUCCAGUGGCCUUGCUCUUUGAAGUUGUAAUAAGAAAACGGUAGAAUCUUUAAACUAACGUUAUGCAUCUAUCUUCACAGUCAAGGCAGAAAUAAAAAUCAUGCUGAUGCCUGUAAGGAAUUUGUACGUUCUUGGCGUGACUGCUUGGGUCUUGUCCCACAGUCCAAAAAUGUACCAGUUGUUAGGUUAAUUGGUCAUUGUAAAUUGUCCAUUGAUUAGGCUGGAAUUAAAUCAGGGGAUUGCUGGUUGGCGUGACUCGAAGGACACUGCGGUUCAAUAAAUAAAGAAAUAAAUUUCAGAAAUGGUACAAGACCUAGCAUUUAAUGAGAGAAAAGAGUUUAAAUAAAUCUGUUUUAAUAAAAGUAUUUGAGGAAUAAUUGGGCUGAAACUGGAAAAUCUUCUGUUUCUGAUGGCCUACGUCCUUGCUUUUCAUUAGAUCUGGCUACUAUGACAGUGACUGCAUUGGUUUUCGUCUUCCAGAAUUCCAGAGAAUUGAGAAUGAUCCCUACAUUAUGAAAAAUAGUACAUUGAACAUUGCUGUUUUCAGAAAGAAAGGAAAGAGAAAGCAGGGAAUGAAAACUAUGAACUAGCAUCUGCAACAUGGAAAUGGCUGAAAUCUGGUAUCAGCAAUGUGAUAACAGGGUCAUUGCAAAAACUGGAAAGCCGUGACAGAUGCUUCUCGGUAUGAAAGAAUAUUCACCCAUUGGGAUUUACCUGCACAUUCUGGAUUGUCCUCAUUAAAGUUGAUUGCAAAGUCAUGGGAGACCUGGAAGCCAUCAAUUGAGAGAGAUAACAAAAUGUUAGUGUUUGGGAAUAAAAUUUGAAUUACAGUGAAUCUCAGUUAAUUGGGCCAUUGGUUAAUAAGGCAGCACUGAUUUGGGACAAUUUUGAAAGAACAAAAACAAAUUAAGAAAAUAACCAGGAUUCCCUUUGCUUAUUUGAGACACUUUGCUGCUUAAUUGGGGCAAGAGACAAACAUUUUCUAACUAGUAUCAGUUGCAUGCAUGCUGUGCGGCCAUUAGACACCACACUGUGCUUAGAGCAAACAAUUUUUAAAUAGCGUCAAUUACGUGUGCUUGUGUUCAAAUGUAGUAACAGUGUGAGUAAUAAACUAAGACAAUUCAGAACUGUAUUGCUCACUGUGGUUUCAAGUAUUCAAACUUCAAGAUGCCGGAAAUGGCUGGGAGUGAAAAUUGAACAAUUUCACUACUUCAACAAGUUAGGAAUUAUGAAAAGGUUGAAGGUAUUGGUAAUCAUCUUGAAAGUAACAAAGAAAAUUUGAAGGAUGUAAAAACAUCUAAAGCACCGUUUGAAGGCAAUACACUAUCAGCACUAAGAAUCUGUGAUAACUUUGUCCAUUUACAGUUAAUGAAAAGAAUAUGUCAGUGCACACUAAAUGAAUUUCUCCAUCGAUAACUCUCAGGAACUAAUACACAGUUUUAUAUUACUGUAGUAGUUUUGGUUGUGCUCUAAUUUGUUCUGUGUUUCAUUUAAAUACAUAAUUUGUUACUCUGUUAAACAGUAGCUUGUCAUUUUAUACCCUUUUAACUAUUUCCACGAAACUUCAGCUGAUUAGGGCAGCUGCCUAAUUGGGCCAAAAUGUACAAGUCCGGAUGUGUCCCAGUUAACCAGAAUCCACUGUAUUUUGAACUAUUUCAUGUUAAAUUUUUACCAACAGCGACACAUGUUGAUUAAAAAAUGUAUCCUCCAGUACCUCUCCAAAAGUAUCUUCACCUACCUCGGACAAGAGCAUCAGCUGCAUUGGAGCACCAUUGCCUGCAAGUGCACCUUCAAGUCGCACAACAUACUGACCUGAACAUAUCGCUGUCAAAUGGCUAGAAAACUCCCUCCCGUUUGCCAGCCAUUUUUAUCCUUCGAUCAAUUAUCAGUGUAAAAUCAGAAGUGCUAUGUUGUGUUUAGGUCUCUUAGUUGUAAGAAAAAAAUCCCUAGGCUGAUUUUCUCCUGAUAUCAUACUUAUACAACUAUAGAAGUUUGACAUAAAAAGCUUUGACAGACUUCUGUAAAUGUGUAGUGGAGACAGCGUUGUCCGGCUGCAUCACAACCUAGAAAGGAAACACCAAUGAUUCUGAAUGCAAAAGCCGACAAAAGGUAAUGAAUGUGGCCCAGUACAUCACGGGUAAAGCCCUCCCAACCAUUGAACACAUCUACAUGAAACACUGUUGUCGGAAAGCAGCAUCCAUCAUCAGAGAUCCUCACCACCCAGGCCAUGCUCUUUUCUCACUGCUGCCAUCAGGUAGAAGGUACAAGAGCCUCAGGACUCACACCAGAAUGUUUGAGAAUAGUUACUACCCAUCAACCUUCAAGCUCUUGAAUAAUAGGGGGUAACUACACUCACUUGCCCAUCCAUUGAGAUGUUCCCACAACUAAUGAUCGCACUUUAAAGACUCUAUCUUGUCAUUUCAUGUUCUUGUUAUUUUUUGCUAUUUAUUUAUCUUUGCAUUUGCACAGUUUGUUGUCUUCUACACUCUGGUUGAUCUCUCAUUGACGCUGUUAUAGUUUCUAAUCUAUAGAUUUGCUGAGUAUGAAUCACAAGGUUGUAUGUGGUGACAUAGAUGUCCUCUGAAAAUUUUUUUUGAACAUUGAUAUACUGAGAUUCACUAAAUUAUUAAAACAAAUUAUCUGGUUAUUUGCUCAUAAACAAGAGAAAAUCUGCAGAAGCUGUAAGUUCAAGCACCACACGCAAAAUGCUGGAGAAACUCAGCAGGCCAGGCAGCAUCUAUGGAUAAGAGUACAGUUGACGUUUUGGGCUGGGACCCUUCAGCAGGACGGUUCUUAGCCCGAAACAGUGACAGUACUCCUUUCAGAGAUGCUGCCUGGCCUGCUGAGUUCCUCUGGCAUUUUGUGUGGUUAUUACCUCAUUGUUAUUUGUGGCAGGGGGGGUUGCUUUGCCCAAAUUAGUCGCCACAUUUCUCAGUGUAAAUGUACUUCAGGAGAUACAACAGCCUUCAGGAUUUCAUGAAACCACGAAAGCCAUUGUGAAAAUGCAAUCUGCAUUUUUCUCAUUUACGGUAAUGGCUUUUUCUUCCUGUCUCCAGCAAAAGUAAUAUGAUUGUAUCCUGGUUAAUCUCUUAUGGUGUAUGAUGCUUAGAGACUGAGAAACCCAAGAAAAAUGGGAAGUUAAAGUUGAGAUAUGGAUAAUAUAUAUAUAUAUUUUGGAAACUGAAUUGACAAUCCGACAGAGUCUGCAAUAGCUCCCUGACUACUUCUUAUUGAUUUUGAUUGUGAGUAGGGAACGGAUGAUAAAUGCAGCUGGUGCAAUGAGAAGAUUAUUUAAGUGUGCCUUCAUUUCUGGGUUUCAUUUAUAGGCUGCUGCUCCAGUCUCUGCCUAGAAAAAGAACUUGAAGUGGAUUCUGCUAAACCAUCUAGCGCCUCCUGACAUGCAGGAAAUGUACAUUGAGAUUUUGGGGUUCAGGAAGUGCCCCACAGGAGUGAAGCCAGUUCAGUGCUGAAUUCAGUACACAGUUGAAAAAGAUACAAAGAACAUAGAACGGGGGUCGGCAACCCGCGGCUCCGGAGCCACAUGUGGCUCUUUUACGUCUGUGCUGCGGCUCCCUGUUGCUUUGGGAAAUAAUUGGUUGUGGUGACCCUUUUCCUGGCACAUCCGAACCUGCUCACAAUUAGAUAGCCUACGGGGGUUUGCGAGCACAGAGCUUUGGAGCCUCUGCGCCAUGGGGGGCAGGUUGAGGGAGGCUUAAAAGUGAGGCUGAAGAUUUUGAAUAAAGUUUUUUCCUUCGCCUGCA